GGUGGGCGUACGCCGUACCACGUCAGCACCAACGAUAAACUGAUACCAGUUCCGGCCCGAACUCGACAAAGAUAAGGGGGAGAAGAGUAGGAAGCGGAGAGGAGAGAAGGAAGGCUCUGAAACAGCUAUGGCGCGAGCCGCUUCAAUCUAUGCCAACAGAACUAUCCUUGCCUGCGCCAAAGAGAGAGAUUCUAAGAUUCAUCUUCCCCUCAAAUCUCGAAAGUGUAGGGUUUUGAUUCUGGGAGGUACGGGUAGAGUGGGAGGCUCCACUGCCGUCGCUCUCUCCAGCCUCUGUCCCGACCUUCAAAUCGUCGUCGCCGGGAGAAACAGGGAAAAAGGUGCUGCCAUGGUGUCUACUCUUGGGGAGAACUCUGAGUUUGCUGAAGUCAACAUUAAUAAUGCAAAGGCAUUGGAAGCAGCUUUAAAUGAUGUGGAUCUUGUUAUUCAUGCUGCAGGCCCUUUCCAACAAGCAGGGAAGUGUACUGUACUGGAAGCUGCCAUACAUACAAAGACAGCAUAUAUUGAUGUAUGUGAUGAUACAAGCUAUGCAUGGUGUGCAAAAUCCUUCCAUGAUGAAGCACUGGCUGCAAAUAUUCCAGCAGUGACAACUUGUGGCAUCUACCCUGGAGUGAGCAAUGUGAUGGCAGCAGAAUUGAUCCGUGCCGCAAGAAAUGAAAGUGAGAGGCAGCCUGAGAGGCUAAGAUUCUACUACUACACAGCUGGCACUGGUGGUGCGGGUCCAACAAUAUUAGCCACUAGUUUUUUGCUUCUUGGAGAGGAUGUUAUUGCAUAUAGAAAAGGAGAAAAAGUCAAACUAAAGCCUUACAGUGGAAUGCUCAACAUCGACUUUGGAAAAGGGAUUAGAAAGAGAGAUGUUUACCUGUUGAAUUUACCGGAAGUAAAAAGUGCUCAUGAAAUCCUAGGAAUACCCACUGUCAGUGCUCGAUUUGGCACUGCACCUUUCUUUUGGAAUUGGGGAAUGGCCGCUCUGACAAGUUUUCUUCCUGCGGAAUUUCUGAGAGACAGAGCCAAGGUCCAUCAGUUAGUUCAAUUGUUUAACCCUCUAGUCCGGGUGAUUGAUGGCAUUGCUGGAGAGCGCGUGUCAAUGAGGGUUGAUUUAGAAUGCUCAGAUGGGCGUUAUACAGUGGGUUUAUUCAGUCAUAAAAGACUUUCAAUAUCAGUGGGAAAUGCAGUGGCUGCAUUUGCACUCGCAGUCCUUGAAGGAAGUACAAAACCUGGCGUUUGGUUUCCAGAGGAGCCCGCAGGAAUUGCAGUCGAGGCAAGGGAAGUUCUUCUCAAACGUGCAGCCCAAGGGACAUUCAAUUUUGUCAUGAACAAGCCUCCAUGGAUGGUGGAAACAAAUCCAAAAGAGCUUAUGUUUGGAAUAUAUUUUUGAGGAAACGAGUGCAUCUCCGAAGCAGAUGAAGCCAUGCUUCAGACUACACCUAUAGUUUGCAGGGAAUGACAAGAGGCAGAGUACCAUGCACUUCUUGAGAUCAGUAGUCAGCAGAAUAAUCAUUUUUCUCUGGAAAGGCAGCAGAAUUCCAAGCGGCCGGAUCUCUACCCUUCGAACGGAAUUUAUAAUUUUAACAUGUAGUAAAUUCACUGACUUGUUUCUCUUUCAAGUAAAUAGAAGGGUCUUUUGGUUGCAUAGUCAUUGCAAUGGAGCGCUGUACCGUAUGUAUAGUUUCUGUAUGAGGAUGAUUGCCGCCUUGGGGUUUGUUUUUCAUUUUAAAAAUAUUAGUUGAAGAGCUAAAGUUGAUGGUAC